GUCCCUGUAGCGCAAUGGAUAGCACAUUGGACUCCUAAUCUGAAGGUCGUGGGUUCGAAUCCUACCUGGGAUG